UACGGAGGGUGCGAGCGUUGUUCGGAAUUAUUGGGCGUAAAGGGCGCGCAGGCGGCACUGCAAGUCCGUGGGUGAAAGGCCGGGGCUCAACCCCGAGCAUGCCCUGGAUACUGCGGAGCUGGAGGCAGGUAGAGGCCGGCGGAAUUCCGGGUGUAGCGGUGGAAUGCGUAGAGAUCCGGAAGAACACCAGAGGCGAAGGCGGCCGGCUGGACCUGACCUGACGCUGAGGCACGAAAGCGUGGGGAGCGAACAGG
rnacentral:misc_RNA from 1 species